rnacentral:misc_RNA from 1 species
GGAAGACUGAAACUGAAGAACAAUCCGAGGAGGUAAUUCAGAGGGUUGAAUUACCAAUAAUAGUAAAAGCCGAUGUUCAGGGCACUGUACAGGCAGUUACAGAUGCAUUGAAAACUUUAAACAGUCCUCAGGUUUUUGUAAAUGUUGUCCAUGUUGGCGUUGGCCCAGUUUCCCAGUCUGAUGUUGACUUAGCUCAAGCGUGUGGGGCAUAUAUAGUAGGAUUUAAUGUGAAGAAUCCCCCAAGUUC